AGUGAACGCUGGCGGUAGGCCUAACACAUGCAAGUCGAACGGCAGCACAGUAAGAGCUUGCUCUUACGGGUGGCGAGUGGCGGACGGGUGAGGAAUACAUCGGAAUCUACUUUUUCGUGGGGGAUAACGUAGGGAAACUUACGCUAAUACCGCAUACGACCUACGGGUGAAAGCAGGGGAUCUUCGGACCUUGCGCGAUUGAACGAGCCGAUGUCGGAUUAGCUAGUUGGCGGGGUAAAGGCCCACCAAGGCGACGAUCCGUAGCUGGUCUGAGAGGAUGAUCAGCCACACUGGAACUGAGACACGGUCCAGACUCUUACGGGAGGCAGCAGUGGGGAAUAUUGGACAAGGGGCGAAAGCCUGAUCCAGCCAUACCGCGUGGGUGAAGAAGGCUUUCGGGUUGUAAAGCCCUUUUGUUGGGAAAGAAAAGAAGCAGGUUAAUACCCCGCUGUUCUGAGGGGACCAAAAGAAUAAGCACCGGUUAACUUCGU
rnacentral:rRNA from 1 species